rnacentral:misc_RNA from 1 species
AAGUCGUAACAAGGUUUCCGUAGGUGAACCUGCGGAAGGAUCAUUAAUGAAAAACUAUUCUUUAGUUCUUCAUACCCCAUUGUUUACUUACCCUGUUGCUUCCACGUGGACAGGCUCCUUGAGCCCUCUAGCCCGCUUGUGAUUCCAUCAUAAAAAAGGCUGGGGAGUUGCCCGUGGUAAGACCCUAUAACAAAAACUUGAUAAAAACCCAAAUGUCUGAUAUAUUCAUUAAAAAAUGAAAUAAAACUUUCAACAACGGAUCUCUAGGCUCUU